rnacentral:rRNA from 1 species
GAAUAAAAUUAUUAUUAUUUUUUGUUUUUUAAUUUUUUAAUAAAAAUAUUUUGUUUUUUAGUAUUUUUGAAUCAAUAUUUUUUAUUUAUAAUUAAUUUUACUGUGAAGGAUUUUUUAUUUUUAAGUUAAAGUAUUUUUUGUUUGAAGUACCUUUUGCAUCAGGGUUUAUUAAAAUAAUAAAAUUAUUUUUUUUUCUCGAAAUUUUAAGAUUUAAGGUUUAAUGUUUUUUUUUGUUACAAAAAAAUUUAUAAUUUUUCUUUAGAGGUUAUAUGCUUUUCAUUUAAAAUAAUAUCUAGUUCAUUAAUAUUUGAAUUUAAUUCAUUUUUAACAUUGCUUUAUUUUAAUUUUAUUAUUUUAAGUUUGUUAAUUAAAGAUUUAUGGGGAUAAGCUCAUAUUUUUUAUUAAAAAGGUUUUUUAAUUAAAUUCUUUGUAGGAUUAAUAAUUUUCAUCUUUAUUUUGUUAUAAUUAUUUUUUUAUUUAAGUGAUUUUUUUUCUUUUAGUUUUUUAUUAAUGUUUUAUAUUUAAUUUUUUAUUUUAAUUAAUAAUGAUAAAAUUAGUAAUUUUUAUAAUUUAAAAAUAGUAAUUCGGCAAAUUUUAUUUUCACCUGUUUAACAAAAACAUGGUCUUUUGAUUUUAAUUUAAGAUCAGGCCUGCCCAUUGAUUUUUUUUAAUUAAAAGGCUGCGGUAUUUUAACUGUACGAAGGUAGCAUAAUCAUUUGUCUUUUAAUUGAAGGCUAGUAUGAAUGGUUCGAUGAAAAAUAUACUUUCUUUUUUUAAUUAUUUUGAAUUUAAUUUUUUAGUUAAAAAGCUAAAAUUUUUUUAUAGGACGAGAAGACCCUGUAGAAGUUUACUUUAUUUAUUAAUUAUUGUUUUUUGUUUAUUAAAUUAUUUUUUAGAAUAUAAAGUUUUGUUGGGGUGACAUUAAAAUUUAUUUAACUUUUAAUAUUUUUUUCAUUAAUUUAUGUUUUUUUUGAUCCAGAAUUUUUGAUUAUAAGAUUAACUUACCUUAGGGAUAACAGCGUAAUUUUUUCGGAGAGCCCUUAUCGAUGAUAAAGUUUGCGACCUCGAUGUUGAAUUAAGAUAAGAUUUGGGCGUAAAAUUUCAUUUUUCUUGGUCUGUUCGACCAUUAAAUUCUUACAUGAUUUGAGUUCAGACCGGCGUGAGCCAGGUCGGUUUCUAUCCUUAUUUUUUGUAAAUUAGUACGAAAGGACCAUUUACAUUAAUUAGAUUAUUUAAUUUUGAUUAAAAUUA